AUCUCUUUAAAACCUUUGUUUCCUACUCUUACUUUUCCUUCUCUCUAGAUUCCUUCAAUCUCAAUUUAUUUGUUCAAUAAUCAAGCAGUGCCUAAGCAAUCCUGGUGUCAAGAGCUUUCCAUUCCAUUGAUCCAUUUUGUGUUUAGAACUGGUAAGUUUCGUUCUCCUUGAUUUCUGUUGAUUUCUUCAAAUUCUGGCACAUGCAAGAACAUCUUUGUUUGCAUGUGUUCAGUAGUCCUUCUUUCCUCUUUUUGAGUUCAUUUUGGUUAUGUAGUUGUUCUUUUUUCAUAAAUCAGUGAUCCAUAGGUGUUCUGAGGAUUUUCUUGAGGUGCAAGCAAUUUUCUAAAGGUGUUAGAAGUUGUUCUGUUCCGUUAGAGGUAAGGAAAACUAGUUAAUUUAAUUGUGAUUUUCUAUGUAUGAAAUUACUGUUUGGAUGGUUGCAUGUGUGUAACUUGAAUGUUUGAUUGAAUUGUGUUGAAUUUGUGAAUGUUGGAACCUGUGAACUGGUUGGAGUUUCUCUGCAAAAGUGUUCGGUUUAUUCUGGUCUUGAGGAAGUGGGUGGGUGAAAAUGAGAGUUUGGGGUUAGGAGUGAAAUUGGUCAGUGGGGAGAGUUUGAGAAAGUGUAAUUGGACCUGUUAGAACCUUUAAGUCCCUCUAAAAUGUGUAGAAAGUAGGAAAAUGGAUUUUGGGUAAUUGAGUUGUUGAUUAUGCAGAAUUUGGAGUGAAAUCUGGUAUGAGACUCUUUGGAAUGAUGUUAGAAAGAUUUAGGUGUAAAUUGGUAUAUGAUUCAUGUAUGGAGGAUUAGAAGUUGGGAAAAAUGUUUAGUUUUGGUAAAGUCUAGCGUGUUCAUCAUUCUGCAGAAUUAUGCAGAAAGCUAAGCACGCGUUGUUGACCGCUCGACCAUGUUCAGGUACUCGGUCAUUAACUGGGUUCGAUCUCUUUAGAGUCUUACCCGUUCAUGAUCGUUCGGUCUUAGGUGGGUGGGUGGUCUCUUGGUAGUGCUCGGUCUUGCACUAGCACUCAGUCUUGUACUAGCACUCGGUCUUGUACUAAUGCUCAGCCUUGUACUAGCACUCGAACUUGUACUAGUGCUUAAUCUUGUACAAGGGUUCAAUCUACAUUAGUAUUCAGUUUUGUUAGUGUGUUAGGUCUAACUUUAGUCCUCGACCUUGCUAUAAUAUUUGAACAUGUUGUAGUAUUCGGUCUCUCUUAGUGGCCGGUCCUUAAUAGUGUUCGGCCACUUCUUCAACCUUGCCUAUUACGGACGGUUCGGUCCUAGUCUUUGGGUAGUAAGAAAUUGUUCGGUCUCCAACGUUCACAAGGUGUUUGGUCUUGCAUGUGGUUUCCAUUGUUGUUUGAAAACUUGUUAAAUUCAGUUAUAUGAAUCUGUUGUGCAUGAAUAAGGGAAUGGAUAUUUCAAAAAGGUAUUAUGUUUCAACUGGUAUGGAAGAGAAUUCCAAGGAGGAAUGUCUCAGUGAUUAGUUAUCAAGGUGGUAAAGUAUGAAUAUGGACAGCGAAAUUCACGGCGUUCAUCCUGAAAUUAUAAUGAUUACCAAUUCUCAAGUAGAGAUGGGUAAGUCAUGUCAUGAGAAUACCAGGAGGUCCUAGCCUAUAGGUUCUUAGGUGAGUUAUAACGGAUUAAUCCCGGGUGGCAGAUGAGGGUGUUCCAAUUACUACACCCUCGGGCGCAAGAACGACCUCAAGCUACAUAUUCAUAGAUCCGGAUGGUCAAGUUAAGUGGUCAGUCUUUUCCUGUAUUAAUGUGCUCGGUCAUUGUCUGUUUGAGUGGUAAGUCAUUGCAUGAUUUAAAGUGCUCGGCUGUUACAUGUUAUGUACUUGUUUGAAUUGGAUGUUUAUUUUGAUCAAUUAAAUUACACUAACUUACUCUUCUUUUCUGUUUUGUAAUGUUUAUCCGUUCGAUUUAUCCUUUGUAAUGAUCAUCCUAUGGGUGUGAGCAGAGGGAGAGGAGUUCCCUCUGGAACAAGCACUGGAAGGAGAGGAUCCAUCUGUUUAGUAUAAGACCGUGCAGUCUCGUACAUAGUUUUGUAUCAGCAUAGGAUUUUGUAAAGUUCUUAAUUUUAUGGUUAUUGUAAGAUAAUUGCAAGUUAACUUUAUUUAGAGUAACUGUUCUACCAUAUUAUUAUGUGAUGAUUCUUUCAUAUAGUUUCAUGCUAUAUUUUUGGGAUGUUAAGUUAUCAAUUUGUUAAAUAUUUU
rnacentral:lncRNA from 1 species